UAGGGAAUCUUCGGCAAUGGACGAAAGUCUGACCGAGCAACGCCGCGUGAGUGAAGAAGGUUUUCGGAUCGUAAAACUCUGUUGUUAGAGAAGAACAAGGACGUUAGUAACUGAACGUCCCCUGACGGUAUCUAACCAGAAAGCCACGGCUAACUACGUGCCAGCAGCCGCGGUAAUACGUAGGUGGCAAGCGUUGUCCGGAUUUAUUGGGCGUAAAGCGAGCGCAGGCGGUUUCUUAAGUCUGAUGUGAAAGCCCCCGGCUCAACCGGGGAGGGUCAUUGGAAACUGGGAGACUGGAGUGCAGAAGAGGAGAGUGGAAUUCCAUGUGUAGCGGUGAAAUGCGUAGAUAUAUGGAGGAACACCAGUGGCGAAGGCGGCUCUCUGGUCUGUAACUGACGCUGAGGCUCGAAAGCGUGGGGAGCAAACAGG
rnacentral:rRNA from 2 species